AAGUCGUAACAAGGUUUCCGUAGGUGAACCUGCGGAAGGAUCAUUAUCGUAUAACAGAGAUGCCCUAGGGCUGUCGCUGACCUUCACAGGUUGUGCACGCCCAAAGGUGCUCUCUUAUAUCCCAUCUCACCCCUUUGUGCAUCACCGCGUGUGCUUCCCCUGUUGGGCUUGUUCCGAGGGGGGGUUCACGUUUUUAUACAAACACCAUUUAUGUAUAGAAUGCCUUACUUUUUGCGAUCAUGCGCAAUCAAUACAACUUUCAACAACGGAUCUCUUGGCUCUCGCAUCGAUGAAGAACGCAGCGAAAUGCGAUACGUAAUGUGAAUUGCAGAAUUCAGUGAAUCAUCGAAUCUUUGAACGUACCUUGCGCCCCUUGGUAUUCCGAGGGGCACACCCGUUUGAGUGUCGUGAACACCCUCAACCUUUUUGGUUUCUUGACCAAGAAGGCUUGGACUUUGGAGGUUUUCCUUGCUGGCCUCCCUUUGAAGCCAGCUCCUCCUAAAUGAAUUAGUGGGGUUCGCAUUGCUGAUCCUUGACGUGAUAAGUAUGCUUCUACGUCUUGGAUUUUGCACCUUUGCCUUGGAACCCGCUUCCAACUGUCUUUGAAUGAAGACAAUGUUUUGAGUUCCAUCGUGACUCAAACUCAGCGACCUUGACCUCAAAUCGGGUGAGACUACCCGCUGAACUUAA
rnacentral:rRNA from 1 species